GACGAGGGGUCCUAGCGUUGUUCGGAAUCACUGGGCGUAAAGCGUAUGUAGGCGGCCUGCUAAGUCAGUUGUGAAAUCCCACGGCUCAACCGUGGAAUUGCAAUUGAAACUGGCGGGCUUGAGUGCAGGAGAGGUUGGUAGAAUACCUAGUGUAGUGGUGAAAUACGUAGAUAUUAGGUGGAAUACCGGUGGCGAAGGCGGCCAACUGGCCUAGCACUGACGCUGAGAUACGAAAAGCGUGGGGAUCAAACAGG
rnacentral:rRNA from 1 species